AAAAUUAUUAACUUUAGCAAAUUGCAAUUUAUAAAUAACUUUAUGCACUAAUUUUGCUGACACUCUUUAUAUAUGCAUUCUCUUAUAUCAGGGGCCAAAUGAAAUUGAAGGCAUAGUAUUAGAUUUACCAAAAGGUGAUGAGGAGAUAAGCUUGCAUCCGGAUGCAUUUCGACAUAUGAAAAGACUUAGAGUCUUUAUAAAUCGUAAUGCACGUUUUUCUUGUGGACCCAAUUAUCUCUCCGACAAGUUAAGAGUCCUUGAUUGGUAUAAAUAUCCUGUAGAGUCUUUGCCACAUGAUUUCCAAGGAAAGAAACUCAUUGUCUUUAACAUGCGUGAUAGCUUGGUGAAGGAGUUAGGGAAUGGAUUCAACCCCAAGAAUUUGACGAUAAUGACUUUCUAUGGUUGCAAAUUCUUAAAAAGGAUUCCUGAUUUUUCAAGCAUCUCAAAUUUGAAAGAAUUGAUUGUCCAAUAUUGUAAAAGAUUAGUUGAGGUGCAUGAUUCGGUUGGAUCUUUGAAAAAUCUUUCCAGGUUGGAUUUUGAUGGAUGCUCUAAACUCCAAAUUCUUCCAAGAAGCCUUAAGUUGAGAUCUUUAUGUGAGCUUAAUCUUGGGACUUGCUCAAGCCUCCGUGAUUUUCCUGAAAUCGAGUGUAAAAUGGAAUGUUUAAGGAAAUUGAGUUUAUAUAGCACUGCAGUAGAAGAACUCCCUUUAUCCAUCAGGAACCUCGUUGGACUUGAGACAUUAGAUCUAUUGGAUUGCAAAAACCUUAUGCGUCUCCCAAUUGCUUCCAUCCCGUUGAAAUAUUUACGCUGCUUUUGUAUGGGUGGACAUGAUUCCGUUUAUCUGCCUAAUGAUUCUACAACAAUGGAAGAUGAGAUAUCAAAUUCAAGAAAUGGGAGCACUGCAUUACAAGUACCGAAUCUUCAACUUAGUUGUUCUCAUUCAGAAUCAAAUUUCUUUCCACUGUAGUUUAUUUACCAUGUUUAAUUCCUCAGCCACUUUGGAUUCGUUAUCUCUAUCGGGACUUGAAAUUGUUAGCCUUCCCAAGAGCAUCAAAGAGUCCGUUACACUAACUAAUCUCACCUUGGCCCGUUGUUGUAACCUCGAAGAAAUACUAGAGCUUCCACUAAAUAUAAGACAAGUAGAUGUUAGGGGAUGCAAGUCAUUAAAAAUAUUUCCGACCGUGGAAAAAAGAAGAGAGGGUAAUAGAUAUUGAGGGGCCGCACUAUUUGGAGGAGAUAAGCGGAAUUGUAUUAUAUGUCGUAAUUUUUUUUAAGAAGAUGUUUCAGUCUGGGAUGAUAGUGAUAUUGUUGAUGCUAAAAUAACUAGUAAGAUAACCAGUAAUGGCUCAAAUCAUGUAUGCCGUAUUCAAGAAGAGGUACGAUUGGUUAAUAGUGAUUUCCACGAAAAGGAAAAUAGGACUGGAUAUUUUGUAUGGGUGGGGUACUCCAAUUUACAAUCUUUUGAACUUCAGGUUUUGGACAAUUUGCUAGUUCAAUUUUAUCCCAGUCAUCGUGGGAUGGUGCCGUUUUAUGAAAGUUACAGAGCGAAAGUGGUAUACAAGAAUGAAAGGAGAGCAAAUUAAAAAAGAAAAAUAGAUGAAGCCGAUGUUGCAAAAACUCCUGAUCAACAACAAUUCAAUUAAUGAUAACCCCAGGUGAGUAAGUCGCCCCUCAUAUUCUCUGUUCUUUUCUCGGAUGAUUUCUUUGGAUUAGUACUUAUGUUUAUGAAAAAAAUCACCUGAUAUUCUUAAACUUGGGGCAUUAAACUGCCAGAUCAAGUGGAGAAGGACUACGAUGACUCAAAGGACUCCAUGCCUUUUUCUUCUUCUUAUUUUUUUUUUUUUUUUUUUUUUGGCCAUUGCCCUGUUUUAGGCCCAUAAAUUUUUGUGUACGAUGGACUAUAUAUGUUUACUAAAACUUUAUGUACAAUCACUUUUGUGUACUCCUUGUGCACUUUAAUAAUGUGAUUGGCUGCUUCACUUUUUUUAAUAUAAAAUAAUUGUUUUGGCCGACAAUCACAUUAAUAGAGUGCGCAAGAAGUGUGUGAAAGUGACUAUAUAUAGUAGAAUUCGUAUGUUUAUACCAAUUUUUACUUUGGAAUAAUGACCAUAUAUGUUUAGUCUUUGCCAAUGAAAUAAAGGUGGUCAUUUUGUUACCAUUUGAUGUUAAAAUUCCCUUAAUCUACUCGGGUUGCAUGUGCAUUGAGAAAGAGGACAACCACAUUAAUUGUGAAGAAUAUUAUUUUGUAGAUUUUAAUAAUCUCGCCUUUCUAGGAUGCUUAUUUGCAUUGCUUUGGGAUAUCUUUGUUAAAUCGCCUGACCCUGUUGUUGCUGUUUCUUUGGAAUUACAGGUGAGAUUUUCGUUUAAUUUUUGUUUGUUCUCACUGGUCUUUAAGACUUGAUUUGGUAUUUGCCAUUGAAAAUUUGAAAUCAGAUGUUGUCAUUUGUUUCAUAUAUGAUGUUAAGAAAUUGCCAUGAAUCUACUCUUCGGCUGCAUAUGUACUGGCUGUAUUGCUCAUGUUGGUUUGUUGGGAUUAUGGUAACACAACUCUAUUGAUCUCAACUUUUGGGUUUAGGGAACUGUACAACAUGUGCACUGAUGUAACAUGUCUUAAUUUUCAAGGGACCUGUUCCAGAUAAGGUGGUGAAGGACUAUGAUGAUCCAAAGGUAGAUUUGGAGUUAGAGCUUCGACUUGUUUGAGAUGGAUGAAUGGCAUGUAUGUUUAUAAGAGCUGAAUCUUAAGACCACUACACUAUUGCUACUCUCAUCCAUCUCUCUCUCUCUCUCUCUCUCUCUCUGUGGUUAUUUAUAAGAUUGAACAAUUUGGAGGUAACCGUCAAUCUUGCCAAAAGUGGGGAAAUCUUCAUGCUUAGCUUUAAUCAGCCUUACAUACAUGACUUCCUGCAUGUGUUCUGAAGGAACCUCUUCCCCUUCCUCUUCUUCCAUUGAUCGAUGGAGUUACUAUGUAUUCUUGAAUUUUAGAGGUGAAGAUACUCGCACUAAUUUUACUGCUCAUCUAUACAACGCUUUGUGUCAGAAGGGUAUCAAUACUUACAUAGAUGAAGACGAGCUUAGAAGAGGAGAAGAAAUUUCUCCAGCUCUUUGCAAAGCUAUUGAAGAGUCAAGAAUUUCCAUCACUAUAUUCUCUAAGAAUUAUGCAUCAUCCACAUGGUGCUUGGCAAGCUGUUGAAGAUCCUUGAGUGCAAAGAAACAAAGCAAUAGAUGGUUCUACCAGUGUUUUACCAGGUAGAUCCAUCGGAAGUACGGAAUCAAAAAGGAAGUAAGCGUGAAAACGGGUUUCAGGAUUAUGUUAAGGUGCAAAGGUGGAAGGCAGCCUUAAAAGAAGUGGCCAAAUUGUCCAGGUUCCAUUUAGGGAACAGAUAGUAUGUCGGAUGCAUUGAAGCAGGGCCAUGAUGAUAGUAUGUUGGAUACAUUGAUGCAGGGCCAUGAUGAUAAUAGCAUGCCGGAUGCAUUGAGGUAGGGCAACUAUCUUAUAAAAAGAUGAUUUUUGAGGUUUGUUGCAACAGGCAAAAGGGUAAUGAAAUCCCAGAACUUACUGGAGGAAUUAAAUAAAUUAAUAGAAGACAAGGGAGACUCAAGAGAGGUUUUGGAGAGCCUACUUGGUUACAUCAUGUGUUCCACCCAGGAGGCAGCAGUUGUUCCACCAUAUGUUGCUCUUGCCAUAGACCAAAUCCUGGAUUCUGGGAAUUUGUUAAGAAAUGGUUUCAGCUUCAUCUCGAAGUUCAUGACGUCAAGGCUGCAUGGGAAUUCUAAGAGUGCAAAGCCACUACUCAAGCACUUACAAGCUCUAUAUUAUAAAGCAGAGGUAUAAACGCAGCUCAUUCUUUGGAUAGGCACACGGAGAAUGGAAGAAAGUAAUUUUUGUAUCAUACUUUGGAUACAGAAAUAAUGGUGUUCCAAUUUAGCAGGAUCUUAUGAUGAAUGGAACUUUGGAUACGGUCACUAAGCUACAAAGUGCCCUGAUUGUAUUUGUCUCUACAAUCCCCAAAGAGAUACCAUUUCUUAAUUUUGAGCAGAGGUGACCAUUAUUUUAUGUUUACCACCCUCAUUGAAAGUAAAACUUGUUUUGACCCAAA